GUCCCCAUCGUCUAGCGGCCUAGGACACCGCCCUUUCACGGCGGUAACUGGGGUUCGAACCCCCAUGGGGACGCCA
rnacentral:tRNA from 1 species